rnacentral:rRNA from 1 species
CACGUAGGGCGCAAGCGUUGUCCGGAAUUAUUGGGCGUAAAGAGCUCGUAGGUGGUUUGUUACGUCUGCUGUGAAAACCUAGGGCUUAACCCUGGGCUUGCAGUGGAUACGGGCAGACUAGAGGUAGGUAGGGGAGAAUGGAAUUCCUGGUGUAGCGGUGAAAUGCGCAGAUAUCAGGAGGAACACCGGUGGCGAAGGCGGUUCUCUGGAACGCAACUGACGCUGAGACGCGAAAGCGUGGGGAGCAAACAGG